GGGGCUGUAGCUCAGAGAUUAGAGCACGUGGCUACGAACACGGUGUCGGGGUUCGAAUCCUCCCGCCACA
rnacentral:tRNA from 1 species